rnacentral:rRNA from 1 species
GUGUCUGCAGCCGCGGUAAUACGGAGGGCGCAAGCGUUGUUCGGAAUUACUGGGCGUAAAGCGCGUGUAGGCGGUUCGGUAAGUCGGAUGUGAAAUCCCGGGGCCCAACCCCGGAACUGCAUUCGAUACUGCCGAGCUAGAGUCCCGGAGAGGGUGGCGGAAUUCCCAGUGUAGAGGUGAAAUUCGUAGAUAUUGGGAGGAACACCGGUGGCGAAGGCGGCCACCUGGACGGUGACUGACGCUGAGACGCGAAAGCGUGGGGAGCAAACAGGAUUAGAUACACUGGUAUUCCACGCCGUAAACGGUGGGUGCUAGACGUCGGUGGUAUUGACCCCCCCGGUGUCGCAGCUAACGCAUUAAGCACCCCGCCUGGGGAGUACGGCCGCAAGGCUAAAACUUAAAUGAAUUGACGGGG